rnacentral:rRNA from 1 species
AGAGUAUGAUCCUGGCUCAGGAUGAACGCUGGCGGCGUGCUUAACACAUGCAAGUCGAACGAACCUUCGGGUUAGUGGCGGACGGGUGAGUAACGCGUGAGAAUCUGCCCUCAGGAGGGGGACAACAGCUGGAAACGGCUGCUAAUACCCCAUAUGCCGCGAGGUGAAAUGAAUUUCGCCUGAGGAUGAGCUCGCGUCUGAUUAGCUAGUUGGUGUAGGUAAUGGCUCACCAAGGCAUCGAUCAGUAGCUGGUCUGAGAGGAUGAUCAGCCACACUGGGACUGAGACACGGCCCAGACUCCUACGGGAGGCAGCAGUGGGGAAUUUUCCGCAAUGGGCGAAAGCCUGACGGAGCAACGCCGCGUGAGGGAUGAAGGCCUCUGGGCUGUAAACCUCUUUUAUCAAGGAAGAAGAUCUGACGGUACUUGAUGAAUAAGCCACGGCUAAUUCCGUGCCAGCAGCCGCGGUAAUACGGGAGUGGCAAGCGUUAUCCGGAAUUAUUGGGCGUAAAGCGUCCGCAGGCGGCCCUUCAAGUCUGCUGUUAAAAAGUGGAGCUUAACUCCAUCAUGGCAGUGGAAACUGUUGGGCUUGAGUGUGGUAG